rnacentral:rRNA from 1 species
GAUGAACGCUGGCGGCGUGCCUAAUACAUGCAAGUCGAGCGAACGGACGAGAAGCUUGCUUCUCUGAUGUUAGCGGCGGACGGGUGAGUAACACGUGGAUAACCUACCUAUAAGACUGGGAUAACUUCGGGAAACCGGAGCUAAUACCGGAUAAUAUUUUGAACCGCAUGGUUCAAAAGUGAAUGACGGUCUUGCUGUCACUUAUAGAUGGAUCCGCGCUGCUUUAGCUAGUUGGUAAGGUACCGGCUUACCAAGGCAACGAUGCAUAGCCGACCUGACAGGGUGAUCGGCCGCACGGGAACUGAGACAGGGUCAAGAGGCCUAUGGGAGGCAGCAGUAGGGAAUCUUCCGCAAUGGGCGAAAGCCUGACGGAGCAACGCCGCGUGAGUGAUGAAGGUCUUCGGAUCGUAAAACUCUGUUAUUAGGGAAGAACAUAUGUGUAAGUAACUGUGCACAUCUUGACGGUACCUAAUCAGAAAGCCACGGCUAACUACGUG